rnacentral:rRNA from 1 species
UGCCUCAGUAACGGCGAGUGAAGCGGCAAGAGCUCAAAUUUGAAAUCUGGGGUCGACGGCCCCCGAGUUGUAAUUUGUAGGGGCACCUUUGGGGGGGACAGCCGGGCGGAUGUUCCUUUGGAACAGGACGUCGCAGAGGGUGAGAAUCCCGUACCUGCUCAGGCUGCUCCCACCCUCCUUCGGUACCUUCGACGAGUCGAGUUGUUUGGGAAUGCAGCUCCAAGCGGGUGGUAAAUUUCACCUAAGGCUAAAUACCGGCGAGAGACCGAUAGCGCACAAGUAGAGUGAUCGAAAGAUGAAAAGCACUUUGAAAAUAGAGUCAAAAAGUACGUGAAAUUGUUGAAAGGGAAGCGCUUGGGACCAGCCUCGGGCUGGGGGUAAUCAUCGCGCCCUCAGGGGCCGUGCACUUGCCCCCGCCCGGGCCAGCAUCAGUUGACGUGGCGGGACAACCGCCCGGGAAAUGUGGCCCCGUGACCUGGGGUGUUAUUUAGGCCCGGGCUCAACGCCGUCAACGUCGACUGAGGAUCGCGCCUAGGCUCGAAUGCUGGCUUAAUGGUCUUCAGCGACCCGUCUUGAAACACGGACCAAGGAGUCUAACAUCCAUGCGAGUGUUUGGGCGUCAAACCCUCUCGCGAAAUGAAAGUGAACGGGGAUGGAAACCCUCCUCCGGUGGGCGCACCAUCGACCGAUCCUGAUGUCUUCGGAUGGAUUUGAGUAGGAGCAUGGCUGUUGGGACCCGAAAGAUGGUGAACUAUGCCUGAAUAGGGUGAAGCCAGAGGAAACUCUGGUGGAGGCUCGCAGCGGUUCUGACGUGCAAAUCGAUCGUCAAAUUUGGGUAUAGGGGCGAAAGACUAAU